AGAGUUUGAUCCUGGCUCAGAGCGAACGCUGGCGGCAGGCUUAACACAUGCAAGUCGAACGGACGCAGCAAUGCGUCAGUGGCAGACGGGUGAGUAACACGUGGGAACGUGCCCUUCGGUUCGGAACAACCCAGGGAAACUUGGGCUAAUACCGGAUACGUCCGCAAGGAGAAAGAUUUAUCGCCGAAGGAUCGGCCCGCGUCUGAUUAGCUUGUUGGUGAGGUAACGGCUCACCAAGGCGACGAUCAGUAGCUGGUCUGAGAGGAUGAUCAGCCACACUGGGACUGAGACACGGCCCAGACUCCUACGGGAGGCAGCAGUGGGGAAUAUUGGACAAUGGGCGCAAGCCUGAUCCAGCCAUGCCGCGUGGGUGAUGAAGGCCUUAGGGUUGUAAAGCCCUUUCGGCGGGGAAGAUAAUGACGGUACCCGCAGAAGAAGCCCCGGCUAACUUCGUGCCAGCAGCCGCGGUAAUACGAAGGGGGUUAGCGUUGCUCGGAAUCACUGGGCGUAAAGCGCACGUAGGCGGAUUGCUAAGUCAGGGGUGAAAUCCUGGAGCUCAACUCCAGAACUGCCCUUGAUACUGGCGACCUUGAGUCCGGGAGAGGUGAGUGGAACUGCGAGUGUAGAGGUGAAAUUCGUAGAUAUUCGCAAGAACACCAGUGGCGAAGGCGGCUCACUGGCCCGGUACUGACGCUGAGGUGCGAAAGCGUGGGGAGCAAACAGGAUUAGAUACCCUAGUAGUCC
rnacentral:rRNA from 1 species